UACGUAGGGGGCUAGCGUUGUCCGGAUUUAUUGGGCGUAAAGAGCGUGUAGGCGGCCAGGUAGGUCCGGUGUGAAAACUCGAGGCUUAACCUCGAGAUGUCAUCGGAAACCAUUUGGCUAGAGUCCGGAAGAGGAGAGUGGAAUUCCUGGUGUAGCGGUGAAAUGCGCAGAUAUCAGGAAGAACCCCAAUGGCGAAGGCAGCUCUCUGGGACGGUACUGACGCUGAGACGCGAAAGCGUGGGGAGCGAACAGG
rnacentral:rRNA from 1 species